GGUAUUACUUCGCGUGAAUGUGUUUAACCCGUAACUUCUAGUCAUAUUGCAUAUUGCUGUCGGCGGAUCACAUAACAGGCUUCAUCCCACCGCUGGACAAAGUAUAUAAGGGGUAGAGGGACCGAACCGUAGUCAGUCGAGUAUAUUCUCUCAGUAAGACUCACAUCCUAAACUCCGACGAUGAAAUUCCAACUCGCUGUUGUCGCUUGCCUGGUGGUCAUCUGCGUGCAGAAUUCCAUGGCACAGGUCUACGGAGGCGGAUCUUGUUCUUUUGCCACAAGUGGUGUCGCUGCCUGUACCUCAACAGCUAACGGAUUCUGCGCACUGGACACUUUCGCCACCGCUGGAGGUCCCCCACUUACUAGUGCUACCGCCACUGGAAAAUGUGUCUGCUUCGCCGGGUUCAGUGGUUCUGUUU